rnacentral:miRNA from 1 species
AGCUCCUCGAGGCCAGAGCCC